rnacentral:rRNA from 1 species
GACGAACGCUGGCGGCGUGGAUUAGGCAUGCAAGUCGAACGGUGUCAUCCUUUCGGGGGUGAGAGAGUGGCGAACUGGUGAGUAACACGUAGGUUAUCUACCCUCAAGACGGGGACAACCCAGGGAAACUUGGGCUAAUACCGGAUGUGAGCAACUUUUAGUUGUUUGAAAGGUGGCGUAAGCUGUCGCUUGGGGAUGAGCCUGCGUCCUAUUAGUUAGUUGGUGAGGUAACGGCUCACCUAGGCAAUGAUAGGUAGGCGGCCUUAACGGGUGGUCGCCCACACUGGGAUUGAGAUACGGCCCAGACUCCUACGGGAGCAGCAGUCGAGAAUAGUCUACAAUGGUCGGAAGACUGAUAGUGCGACGCCGCGUGAACGAUGAAUCCCUUCGGGGUGUAAAGUUCUUUUAUAUGUGAGCAGUGCUUCUUAUAUUAACAGUAUGGGGAGAGAGAUAUUAGCAUAUGAAUAAGCAACGGCUAACUCCGUGCCCAGCAGCCGCGGU